CUUGGUCAUUUAGAGGAAGUAAAAGUCGUAACAAGGUUUCCGUAGGUGAACCUGCGGAAGGAUCAUUAUUGAAUUAGCGAGGGCUGUCUGCUGGCCCCUUCGGGGGCAUGUGCACGUCCGAGCCGUUUAAAUCAACACCUGUGAACUCACCGUAGGCCUUCGGCUUAUGUAUCAUAUAUAUAUAUACUCAGAUCAUAGAAUGUACAUUUUGCCUUUAAAAAAGCAAUCAAAUACAACUUUCAACAACGGAUCUCUUGGCUCUCGCAUCGAUGAAGAACGCAGCGAAAUGCGAUAAGUAAUGUGAAUUGCAGAUUUUCUGUGAAUCAUCGAAUCUUUGAACGCACCUUGCGCUCCUUGGUAUUCCGAGGAGCAUGCCUGUUUGAGUGUCAUUAAAUCCUCAACCCCGUCCGUCGGUCGGGGCUUGGACUUUGGAGCGUGCUGGCGAAGGUCGGCUCCUCUUUAAAUGCAUCAGCGGAGAAAAACAAACCUUUUUUCCCCCUUCAGCGUGAUAACUGUGUUGCGCUGUGGUCGCGAAAGGGUCCGCUCAUAAUCGUCCUCGGACAAACACCGAAUCUGUUUUGACCUCAGAUCAGGUAGGACUACCCGCUGAACUUAAGCAUAUCAAUAAGCGGAGGA
rnacentral:rRNA from 1 species